rnacentral:misc_RNA from 1 species
AGCAGCCGCGGUAAUUCCAGCUCCAAUAGCGUAUAUUAAAGUUGUUGCAGUUAAAAAGCUCGUAGUUGAAUUUCGGGAUCAAUUAAUCGGUCGUGCCUCUGGUACGCACUGGUUUUAUUGGUUUCUCCCUUCUGACGAACCAGGAUGUCAUUAAUUUGGUGUCUUGGAGAAUCAGGACUGUUACUUUGAAAAAAUUAGAGUGUUUAAAGCAGGCUAACGCUUGAAUACAUUAGCAUGGAAUAAUGAAAUAGGACGUUUGAUCCUAUUUUGUUGGUUUCUAGGAUCGACGUAAUGAUUAAUAGGGAUAGUUGGGGGCAUUAGUAUUCAAUUGUCAGAGGUGAAAUUCUUGGAUUUAUUGAAGACUAACUACUGCGAAAGCAUUUGCCAAGGAUGUUUUCAUUAAUCAAGAACGAAAGUUAGGGGAUCGAAGACGAUCAGAUACCGUCGUAGUCUUAACCAUAAACUGUGCCGACUAGGGAUCGGAUGAUGUUAAUUUUUUAAUGACUCAUUCGGCGCCUUA